AUUUCUUACAGCUUUAUUUAUGUUUUUCCGGGUUGUGUUAUACACCUUACGUUAUAGUAACACUAUCCAGGGCAUAUCUUGUUUAUUUCUUUUGCAAUGACAAUAAAUUUUGGAUAAAUGAUGUCUUGGUGAGAAUUGUCCACAUCACAAAGAGAGGAAUUUUAUAAUGUUACUUUACGAUCCUAUAAAGCCUAAACCUCAUCGAAUCAGCCCAAGACAGUCCAAAUUUGGUGAACAGGUGGUCGGAUGACAGGGGCAUCAAUACACGUGGGCAUAGAACGCCUAAAGCGCAUGCUCUGCGGGAACCAAGGGCGUAACAACAGACACACAUGUGACUCGAGACUAGA